GACGAACCGUGCGAACGUUGUUCGGAAUCACUGGGCUUAAAGGGCGCGUAGGCGGCUUGCAAAGUCAGGGGUGAAAGCCUCCAGCUUAACUGGAGAAGUGCCUUUGAUACUGGCGAGCUCGAGGGAGGUAGGGGCAGGUGGAACUUCCGGUGGAGCGGUGAAAUGCGUUGAUAUCGGAAGGAACGCCGGUGGCGAAAGCGACCUGCUGGACCUCUUCUGACGCUGAGGCGCGAAAGCUAGGGUAGCGAACGGG
rnacentral:rRNA from 1 species